rnacentral:rRNA from 1 species
CGUGGGCGGUUCGCUGCCGGCGACGUCGCGAGAAGUCCACUGAACCUUAUCAUUUAGAGGAAGGAGAAGUCGUAACAAGGUUUCCGUAGGUGAACCUGCGGAAGGAUCAUUGUCGAUGCCUGCACGCGCAGAACGACCCGCGAACACGUUCAAAACCGCGGGGUCCCGGCCCUCGUGCCGCGGCUCCGAAGGACGCAGGACUGCAAAGACCUGCGGCCGCAAACACAACCCCGACGCAAACCGCGUCAAGGAACAUUACAACGGAAGGGGCGCGCUCGUCUGGUCGGCCCGUUCGCGGCGCCCGACAGCCGAGUGUCAACCCCUCUGAGAAAAACACAAACGACUCUCGGCAACGGAUAUCUCGGCUCUCGCAUCGAUGAAGAACGUAGCGAAAUGCGAUACUUGGUGUGAAUUGCAGAAUCCCGUGAACCAUCGAGUCUUUGAACGCAAGUUGCGCCCGAAGCCAUUAGGCUGAGGGCACGCCUGCCUGGGCGUCACGCAUCGCGUCGCCCCCCUCCACGCCUCCCCCUCAUCGGGGUGUGUUGCGCGGAAGGGGGUGCGGAAGAUGGCCUCCCGCGAUCCCGUUGAUCUCGGCUGGCCCAAAACACUGUCCCCCGGAGGCGGACGUCACGGCGAGUGGUGGUCGAAUCAGCCCUCUUUUCGCGCCGUUUCUCUCCCCGUCUUCGGGUGGCGAAUCGACCCUCACGCGCCGUCCUUGAGACGGUGCUCCGACCGCGACCCCAGGUCAGGCGGGAUCACCCGCUGAGUUUAAGCAUAUCAAUAAGCGGAGGAAAAGAAACU